CUAUUUGGGUAAAUUUUUGGCACAGUUUGGCCCUGGCUGGGCUGUGGGAGGCGGCUCUGCUUUGGGAGAGGUGAUUUAUGCCCUCGGCAGAGAUUCCAAAACAUCCUGAUUUUAUGGCAUCCCCUCUGGCCCGCAGCCCGUUUCCUCCUCAUGUUACAUCUUGUCUGCUGCCUUUGGGAGAGCUCUGCGGGCAGGGAUUGCCCUUCUCUCCCGUCCUGGGCCCUCAGAGCAGCAAAAGGCACCGGGAGCACCCGGAGAUUGGGGCAGAGCAGGGCAGGAUGAGCCCCUGAGCAUCUCCCAGCUUUCCCUGGAGAUUCCCGGCCUGGCUGGGAUCCAAAGGAAGGAUUCCCUGGCUGGGAAUGGAUGUGAGGAGCUCGUUGUGAGGAUGAGGUGUUAAUGAGCUCGGCAGGGAUGGCCUCUGAUUGGGAAUGGCUGGAAAUGAACUGGUCCAGGCAGGGUUACCUGGAGUGGAUGAGGUUUUGUGACUCCAUCACUUUUGUGGUGAUUCCACUCCCACUUAUUUUUAUAUCCCCCCCUUCUUUUUAUACCCCCAGUUCUUUCUGUAUCCCCUCUUCUUUUUAUACCCCCAGUUACUUUUACAUCCCCUCUUGUUUUUAUACUCCCCCGUUAUUUCUGUAUCCCCUCUUGUUUUUAUACCCCCACUUAUUUUUACAUCCCCUCUUGCUCUCAGACUCUCCCCAAGCCCAGGAUGCUCUGGGGGUCUCUUUUUCAACCAAAUUCCAGUGCUGGGCUCCAUCCCUGUGGGUUUUCCAGCCAGCUCCUCCCUGCGCUGCUGCUUGUGGGGUGAUGAAGGAGAGGAGGAGGAGGAGGAGGCGCUCAGAGCGCCCUGCUCUGCUCCAGCAAUCCCUGCCUGGGAUUUUCCGUUCGCCUCUCCCCGCGUUUGGCCCGGAGCCGGGCGCAGCUCCUGUUUUUCGGAGCACAAAGCUGUGUUUGCAGGUGAAACCCAACGCCGGGAGCCUCCCCCUGCUCGGGGAGCGGAUGUGGGAGUUUCCUCCUCCUGGAGGCCUUCAGGUGUCUCAGGUUGGAGGAAGCAAAGGAGCCGCCCUGGCUCUCGUUAGCGCCGGAAAGUCCUGAGGCGCAGGGGUGAACAAUAACACGCGGUAACCCCGGAGGGCCGCGCUUGAUUUUGUUGUGUUUUUAGGGCGGCUUUGCCGGGAAACAAUCCCCGUUUGGGGCCAGGAGGCAGCGGCGGCUGCGUCAGCCCUGGAGCGGCU
rnacentral:lncRNA from 1 species